rnacentral:rRNA from 1 species
UAGGGAAUCUUCCACAAUGGACGCAAGUCUGAUGGAGCAACGCCGCGUGAGUGAAGAAGGUUUUCGGAUCGUAAAGCUCUGUUGUUGGUGAAGAAGGAUAGAGGCAGUAACUGGUCUUUAUUUGACGGUAAUCAACCAGAAAGUCACGGCUAACUACGUGCCAGCAGCCGCGGUAAUACGUAGGUGGCAAGCGUUGUCCGGAUUUAUUGGGCGUAAAGCGAGCGCAGGCGGAAUGAUAAGUCUGAUGUGAAAGCCCACGGCUCAACCGUGGAACUGCAUCGGAAACUGUCAUUCUUGAGUGCAGAAGAGGAGAGUGGAAUUCCAUGUGUAGCGGUGGAAUGCGUAGAUAUAUGGAAGAGCACCAGUGGCGAAGGCGGCUCUCUGGGCUGCAACUGACGCUGAGGCUCGAAAGCAUGGGUAGCGAACAGG